UACGUAGGCAGCGAGCGUUGUUCGGAGUUACUGGGCGUAAAGGGUGUGUAGGCGGUUGUUUAAGUUUGGUGUGAAAUCUCCCGGCUCAACUGGGAGGUGCGCCGAAUACUGAGCGACUAGAGUGCGGGAGAGGAAAGUGGAAUUCCCAGUGUAGCGGUGAAAUGCGUAGAUAUUGGGAGGAACACCAGUGGCGAAGGCGGCUCACUGGACCGGUACUGACGCUGAUGCGCGAAAGCGUGGGGAGCAAACGGG
rnacentral:rRNA from 1 species